ACUGUAGUAUAAGUAUGUCCCAUGCAAUUUUUGGGAUAUACUUAUACUAAAA
rfam:Pteropus alecto contig62912, whole genome shotgun sequence.